UUGGGUGACCUUUUUGUGCACUGUUGUGG
rnacentral:piRNA from 1 species